rnacentral:tmRNA from 1 species
ACGUCGUUGUCGAAGGCUUUCGGACGCGGGUUCGAUUCCCGCCGCCUCCACCA